UACGUAGGGUGCGAGCGUUAAUCGGAAUUACUGGGCGUAAAGCGUGCGCAGGCGGUGAUGUAAGACAGAUGUGAAAUCCCCGGGCUCAACCUGGGAACUGCAUUUGUGACUGCAUCGCUGGAGUGCGGCAGAGGGGGAUGGAAUUCCACGUGUAGCAGUGAAAUGCGUAGAGAUGUGGAGGAACACCGAUGGCGAAGGCAGCCCCCUGGGUUAACACUGACGCUCAGGCACGAAAGCGUGGGGAGCAAACAGG
rnacentral:rRNA from 1 species